rnacentral:rRNA from 1 species
UACAGAGGUCCCAAGCGUUGUUCGGAUUCACUGGGCGUAAAGGGUGCGUAGGCGGUCGGGUAAGUCUGAUGUGAAAUCUCACAGCUUAACUGUGAAACUGCAUUGGAUACUAUCCGGCUCGAGGGAGGUAGGGGCAGACGGAACUUCCGGUGGAGCGGUGAAAUGCGUUGAUAUCGGAAGGAACGCCGGUGGCGAAAGCGGUCUGCUGGCCCUCUACUGACGCUGAGGCGCGAAAGCCAGGGGAGCAAACGGG